UCCCGAACCCUCGGCUCUUCGUUCUUUUGCCUAUCGUCCGUCUUACAUCACGCGUCAUCGGUCGGCUCGCUUCCCACGUCGUCGACGGCCUCUCUCUCUCUCUCUCUCUCCCCCCUUCUCUCUCUCUUUCUCUUUCUCUUAUCGCGUGGAACGCGGCUGGUAAACAAACAAGUUGGACGCCGAUUUUCCACCCCGAGACAUCGUUAACAGACUUGGUCCUCGACGACGGGAAAAAUCGGGACGUCGCGACCCGACGGUGACGAGGCGGCAAGGUGCUCGGAGUGAUUUGCCGCCGUAUUUGGGUAUCGAUUGUGUGCGGCACGCUAGUUAUGUUCGAAACGUCGGGCACAGCUGAGAAGUGGAACGCCGCCGUCUCGUCGAGAUCGGAGCCCGGAGCGACAGAAUGAGAGCGCCGCUCGUGCUUUGCGUCGCCGCGGUUUUUCACACGAUCUUCGUGGCUUCGCAAGGCAACGAGGAUCACGAAAUACAAAAUUCCACGACGACGCAAGAUGUCGAGCGUGAGGCGAACCGCACAAAAUUGUUACUGGAGGGAAUUUUAAAUUUUAACUUGACGACCGACUCGCUCGACGAGGAGGACAAUUGCAAAUACAGGAGGGAAGCUUAUCGUUCGCGGAUCAAACGCCGUACGACGCAUCGCCCUCGUACGAAGUCGAACGCGAAAUCGAGAAACUCGAAGGGCGAUAAGAUGCGACAGGCCGACCGCGUUUCUAACAAAACCGAUUUUUAUGAGACCAAGGACGAGGGCUUCGAUGUGUCCCUUUGGAAUCGCACGGAGAGAAACGCGGACGACAUGCAGAUCUACGAUCACGAGUCUUUUCACGAUUACUAUCACAGAGGACUGGAGUCUCUCCUGAAAAGACUGAUAGAAGCGCUGGAGAACAAUUCCAGGGCGGACGAUCCCAACGUGCCGAGCUCGAGUGCCGCGAGUAGCCUCGACGACGAAGAUCACUGUCAGAAGUGGCUGAACAACUGGGAGAAGAUCGAGAGGGCCUUUCCGGGAUCAGUCGCCGAUCUGCCAGCGUGCCCCUGCCUGUACCCGAACAACAUCUUCUACGAGAACGAGAUCUGGGACAACAAGCGACAAAAGAAGUUUCGGUGGCGCGACGUGAGCCACGACAAGGACCGGCUCACGAUCUACAAGCCCGGCGCCGUUUACUGCGUGCUGACCCUACUGUCUCAGGAAAACGAGAGCGCUACCGUGCAGCACUGUUGCUACGAUGAGAGCAGGAAGCUACUGACCCGCGGUUCCGGCGCCGGUACACCUUACAUGAUCAGCCCGGACAUCUCGUCUCUACUGCACGACAAGAUCGACCUGCUGCCCUGGCGGCUUUGCAACGGUGACUUUACGAGGUACAAUGAAGUAAGAAUACCGAAUAAUGACAAUAAAUGCGACAUAAACCCGGAUGACGAAGAGUAUGAACAUCAAGUGGAAGCAGCGAAAAAUUAUUGAGAUACGAUAUUGUCGCGAUUGUACCAAAAAGAAGCAACACCUACCUAAUCUCCACUUCGAUUGUGUUCUCAAAAGGGAGUAGCGUAACGAAUUUAUAUUUAUUUACCAUUAUUUCUUUAAGCAUUCUAGUUUUAUAACAGUAUACCAUGUUGAAAAGUCCACUCAAGAAUGCCGUGUGCUGUUGGCCGUGUAAAAAUUAUUCUCUUUUCAUUUUGCGUGACAAAUUGUUAUAAUUACUUAAUAAUUAGUUAAUAAUCCAUUAAGCAGUGAUGGAGUAUUAAUAAAAUUUAUAUUAACAACAGCUAAUUAUAUUCCUCUCACUGAGCUGGGAGAAAUGCGAAAGAUGUGUGUAUAUGCGAUAUCACACGGUGUUUCGAACAUCAUACAUUUGUAAUUUAUAGUUAGAACCAUAGCUAACCAAGAAAUUAAUAAAAUCUCUCGUUUCAUACAUUACAUGGCUGUAGAAAUUAUGUCCUGUUUUGCGAAAACUUGACUAAUACAGUCAACAGUAUCUUACUACUUCUGACAUAUCAACAUUCUCGAGUGUUGCUUCUAGGUCCGACAUUUUGUUCGUUCUUUUGAGGAUAAUCCUUUCCUCCGAUUUGGUAUGAACAAGCGUGACCAUAUGUGAAUCCAGCGAAAGCUAUUUAUUUAAAGCAUGCACGUCGGUGGAAGUGAACCGAAUUUAAUGGAGGAAUAAACUAAACUAAUAUAAUUUCGUUUCUGUUUAGUUCAAGAGAGAAGAAAAGGACAGAAACUCUCAACGAGAAUUGCGACGGCUAUGGUCUACUUGAUGCUGCAAAUGCUUUGAAGCGUCUUCUCUUCCGUCUUUCUUUCCUAAAAGGAAGGAGAAGAGUGUUUCGAGAAUUUGUAGCAUCAAGUGAUGAUUAUCAUAAAAAUCAUCAGUACGGAAAGUCUAAAAUCAUGGGAUCUUUCCUUCUAUAUGAAAACUUGCGUGCUACCGUAGCACAGAUAUAGACCAAAAAGGAGCAUUUUACCAUCUCGAAAAGUGGAUGUGGCUACGUAGUUCCCACGUUCGCGAUAAAAUGGAUCAUGGCGUUGUGAAUCAAGCGCUGCGCCCUCCUAGCGCCAGGAAGUUCAGUAAUCUGAACUGUCGCAUUGUUGGAUAAGCGAAUCGGCAAUUUGGUGCACGAAUAGUUCUUUGAAACUUU